rnacentral:pre_miRNA from 1 species
AUUAUGCGAUUAACUCGGUCCUGUGGGUGUUACAGCGAUUCGAAAUUCAUCACUGGGCUUAGUUUAUCGCAUAAU